GAUGAACGCUGGCGGCGUGCCUAACACAUGCAAGUCGAGCGUGAUUUAUGAGGACGAAACUUCGGUCUAGGAAUCAUAAUGAAAGCGGCGGACGGGUGAGUAACGCGUAGGCAACCUGCCCUUGACACAGGGAUAGCCUCGGGAAACCGGGAUUAAAACCUGAUGACGCAAAACAGUCACAUGGCUGUUUGGCCAAAGAUUUAUCGGUCAAGGAUGGGCCUGCGUCUGAUUAGUUAGUUGGGGGGGUAACGGCCUACCAAGACGACGAUCAGUAGCCGACCUGAGAGGGUGAUCGGCCACAUUGGAACUGAGACACGGUCCAAACUCCUACGGGAGGCAGCAGUGGGGAAUAUUGCACAAUGGGCGAAAGCCUGAUGCAGCAACGCCGCGUGAGCGAUGAAGGCCUUUGGGUCGUAAAGCUCUGUCCUUGGGGAAGAAACAAAUGACGGUACCCAAGGAGAAAGCCCCGGCUAACUACGUGCCAGCCGCCGCGGUAAUAC
rnacentral:rRNA from 1 species